UUGCGAGUGACGUCGCCAACAUCUGUUUACUGCUCUGUGCCUUGCACGCAAGCCUUGCGCACUCUCUCUGUGUGGGAAGGGAGGGGAAGGAAGCAGCACAGGUGAGUAUUCAACAGGAGCAUUGCAAAGGGGACAUUCCACUCCCCAUGACACAGUAGCUACUGUAGUAUUUCUUCAUUGCAGUUUCAUUCUCCUAAACUCCCCGUUUUCACUCCUGCUAAGAAACAGGGUGACGCAAGCGUUUCUUUACAAACUGAGAGAGGGGCCUGUGCAUUAUCAAAGGCUUCUUCUGGGUAUUCUAAUGCAAAGCUUUUAAAAUGGCAGCGUUUGGGCUUCUCUGAAUUCGGAUUUCCCCUGGAGUAACAGAAUCAUACAGGUCAUACAUUUUAGUCAUAGAUUCCAUCACGUGCUCUCAAUGCCAUCAUCAGUACGCCUAAAUGGAAAAGCUGAGAUUUAUCACCAUUCAGUCCCAGUGAUCCACAUGCGCACAAACGUAUUUGAAUCCCUAAUCCACCCCAUCUCAAAGGCUCAAGACAAUAUAGAUAACUAUAAUUUAGGAACAUUACGAUCUCAAUGGACUGAACAAGCACCUUGUACCACUCCAACUAAUUUCAGCAGGAUUCAUGCAGGAGAAUUUAUUACUGCAUUGGAAUAAACGCUGCUCAGCCUAUGAGUUCCAGAUGGGAUUUUUAAGGCACAUUUUGGGAUUGAUGGAAUAGUUUCUUUGGAGACCAUGUCAAUUCUGCACGCCUUCUUUUAUUAAUUUAUUCCACCUCAUUUCCCUUUUAAUCUAUGAAUGAGAAAAAUCUGCAUUAAAAUACACAUUUAAUUGUGUACCUUAUCACAAGAUAUGCAAUGAAGCAAAUAUUUUAUCUUAAUGUCUCCAUUCUGAACACAUUUUAUCCUAAAAUAUACACUUUAAACACAUAUUUCUGUUUUGAGCCAUGAUGUGUAUUGCAAAAUUCAGAGAAGUGUGAAACCCAAAGGUUAAUUAUGUUCUACCCCAUACAUUAGUCUGGGAAGUGUGUGGAUCUGGUCAGUUUUCAUCACAAUUCAGAGCAAUCAAAAUCCUUAAGAAUCCCUACAUAUGACUGAUUACUCAAUUUCAUUCCAAGUGUCCAAUUAAAAUUAUUUCAUAGAAUUGUAGAGCUGGAAGCUACCCUGAGGGUCAUCUAGUCCAAUGUGAUUUAUUUAAUUGCUUUAUAUUAAAAAGGGAUGAAUGGGGUGUUAGGGGAGGGAGUGUACCUCUGGUGGGGGACAGGCUGUGCUCCUUCUGGGGUAGUUUGUCCACCUCUGGUCCCCACUCUUCACUCAGGACUCACCUGUGACUCCUAGAAACUGCCAUCAUGCAACAGUGGCCACAGUCCAGAACGGCUUCGAGUGGCCUGCUAAACCAGGUAAGGUUUGCCAAUGGGUCUUAAAGUCUUGGUGAGCUAGGGACUUCCCUUGCAUGCAAAGACAGGCUGCGGUAGAUUGAGUGGAUGAGACCAAUAGCGGGUCCAAAGGCCAAGAAGGAGGUUUCUGUGUGUGCUGUAGAGGGAAGUGAGGAGGAGGAGGAGGAGUUUGGAUUUGAUAUCCCGCUUUAUCACUACCCGAAGGAGUCUCAAAGCGGUUAACAUUCUCCUUUCCCUUCCUCCCCCACAACAAACACUCUGUGAGGUGAGUGGGGCUGAGAGACUUCAGAGAAGUGUGACUGGCCCAAGGUCACCCAGCAGCUGCAUGUGGAGGAGCGGGGAAUCGAACCCAGUUCACCAGAUUUCGAGUCCACUACUCUUAACCACUACACUGGCUCUCCAAGGGGCAGAUGGGGCUUGUCAACCUGGGAAGGUAGCUCAUCACAGAGAAUGAAAAUGCUGGUGCUAAACUUCUGCUGCCUUGUGGGCUAUCUUUGGGAGAAGAAAAGGCCUAAGGGGUAAAUAAGGAGUGGAGUCCCUAAGACAAUUGGAUAGCACCUUGCACGCAUCCUUCUAGAAACUUCUGCAGCCAAGCUGGUGUCAAACAUAUUGCUCUGCUUUCUUUGGACCACAUUAGUGAGGCUGGGGGUGGCGGUUCUUGUUGUCUGGGCAGCCCAGGACCUCCAUACACGCUGCCCAGACUUGUGCCCCAGGGAGGUCGAUUUGGUGCUGCUAACACAGCCGUAUGACUUUAUCCCCCGAGGCACACUCCAUUGUCUCUUGAGACAAAUGGAUGCCAACAAAAAUAAUUCUAAGAGACUUUUAGCCCAGGACAGGGCAUGUGGUAGUCCCCUGCAAUUUUAUCCUCGCAACAAUCCUUUGUGGCUGGAUAAAAGAUCACAACUAGUCUAAGGACAGGGACGUGGGUGGCGCUGUGGGUUAAACCGCAGAGCCUAGGACCUGCCGAUCGAAAGGUCGGCGGUUCGAAUCCCCGCGGCGGGGUGAGCUCCGGUCGUUCGGUCCCAGCUCCUGCCUACCUAGCAGUUUGAAAGCACCCCUAAGUGCAAGUAGAUAAAUAGGGACCGCUUUUCAGCGGGAAGGUAAAUGGCGUUUCCGUGUGUGGCGCUGGUGCUGGCUCGCCAGAUGCAGCUUAGUCACGCUGGCCACGUGACCUGGAAGUGUCUUCGGACAGCGCCGGCUCCCGGCCUCUUGAGCGAGAUGAGCGUGCAACCCUAGAGUCGGACACGACUGGCCCUGACGGGCAAGGAUACCUUUACCUUUUUAGUCUAAGGACACCCUGUGAGCUUCGUGGCUAAACAGGAAUUUGAACUUGAGUCUUCUGCAUUGUAGUCCAAAACCCUAACCUUUGCACCAUACCAGUGAAGAUGUGUUUUCUAUUUUGAAAUACUGCCAUUUCAAAGCAGCCAUUCCAGCCAAUGCAGCCAACUUCAUCCUUGGCCAUUUCAACCAGGUUUAUUUUAUUCUGUGUGGUCUGACUGUUGUCAAAGGGAGUAUGUUGGAUGGUUAUGUUGAAAAUGGUCUAUUGGGUAGAGUUAUUUCCAGAUGCCUGUUCAACCUCCAUCACGGCACAAAUUCUUGCUUUGAAUGCUUUUUGCCUUUGUUCUCUACAGCAGAAGGUUUUUAAUUAACAUGCCACAUUAUGCACAAAUAGAUAUGUAAAUUGCUUUGCAAUUUAUGUUAUUUACAUAUUUGCUGAUGCAUAAUUGCUGCUAUCCCAACAGGUGUCUCAUUACUUUUUCCCCUGAAGUGUUUUUCGCUGAGUUUAUGUAAGUUGUUCUUUUGCUAGAGGCAAUCUAUAGGCAAAUAUUUUUUGUUCUUAGUGUGAAUUUUAAAAACCAGCCAUCAUUCACUACAAUUCACAUGGAAAAAGUGAUAUAUUUUGUUACCUGUAGAGUUUAUCUGUGCUCCUCACUUCUUAUCCGAGCUUCUUUGUCAACAUGGGGAGAACCAUCUAGAUGUAACUGCUCAUUUUAACCAUCCAUCCCCCUAAUCUUUGUUUUAAACAUGUUCUUGCUUCACUUCCUGCAUAUCUGAAGGACUAAUUCAUACAGUCCAUGAUACAAAGAGUAAAAAUAUCCAGAGGGUGCUGAACUUUCCCUCCCUGACACCUGAGUGAGAGAAAUGAGACUGGAUGACAAGAUUAUACUGAACAGUGAACUCAAGCUAGCAAAAUAGGCUGCAGUCCAAACCCCGCUUUCCUGGGAGUAAACCCCAUUGAGUUCAAUGGGACUUACUUUUGAGAAGAUGGGUUUAGUUUAGAUGCAAAAAGACAACAACUACUAGGGCUACCCUUCUGGAAAUUAAUAUUGAAAAACAACAUACAGAGGAAGGCAAUUGGUGUGUAAAUAUCUGUUGAUGGCUGAGUUAUGUGUGUCUAGUGUGUUCUAUGGUAUAUGUAAAAAUGGAACAUAUUUCCACAUCAAGUGGACAACAAAACAAAAGAGUUGUGCAAAAUAAAUCAAUUGCAGCAGAGCAGAAAAUACCAGGUGAAUGUCGGAAUGAAUUGAAGAACUUUAGUGCAUCCCUUGUCAAUUGCAACAAUGAAAUUGUGGCAAGUGCUGUGAAUGAAGAAUGACAUGACUCUAUUGAUGACAUGAUAGGAUUCAAAAUACAGUAUGCUAAAAUAAUGUACAGUGGUACCUCGGGUUACAGACGCUUCAGGUUACAGACUCUGCUAACCCAGAAAUAGUACCUCGGAUUAAGAACUUUGCUUCAGGAUGAGAACAGAAAACGUGCAGUGGCGGCGCAGCAGCAGCAGCAGGCCCCAUUAGCUAAAGUGGUGCUUCAGGUUAAGAACAGUUUCAGGUUAAGAAUAGACCUCCAGGACGAAUUAAGUUUUUAAUCCGAGGUACCACUGUAUGAAUGUCUUUUGAACCAUUCAUAUAGUACAGGCACAAUAUUUCUCUGGUCCUUUCCAACAGAAUGCUUGAACUUAUACAGAAUUUUUCACGAAAACUUUGAAGAGUUUUAACGCUCUGUUUUGUUUUUAUGCUUUAAGGAACAACUAGCCCUAGGAAAGAGUUCUAAAUGAGUAUUCUAAACAUAAAAUAGAAAAAUCUGUCUCAUAUCUUCUAGAAUCUAGAGGUUGUUCUAAUUCCCUAGCUAUGCAGCACUGUAAGCCAGACACUAAAAUCUGCCUACCUUGAAGGAAAAGCAUUUCACACAACAUAGGGCUCUGUGCUUUGCAAUUACAAUGUCACAUUUUGAAAUUAAAAUUGGCAUCCUUCCUUGGUAAAAACUAUGCAUCUUCAGAGAUACCAAGCCAGCUUAUCUUUCCCUGAUUACAGGAACUCUCGGUUUCAGAUUGCAACCAAGUUAUCUCCUUGAUUAAAUUCUCAUUUUCCAAUUUAAAUGGAUGACAUCAAUGCUAAAUGACUCAAUCAACUGUAUAAGUAUCGAUGAAGGGGCAUGAAAGCUGCUCCUUUAUCUGUAUAACCAGAAAUAUUUUAAGACCCGUAUUUUAAUUCUCCAUCCAGCUACCAUCACCAAAAACCCCAAUUUGUACAAGAAACAGCAAAAAAAAAAGUGUGCUGUUGCAAUGGUUUUAAAAACAGAAAUGGUUCCAAGUUAUUAGAUUAAUCAUAAUCCAUUAAUCAUUAUGCAAUGUUUCUCAAUUUGCUUUCUGAGCUCAUCAGUGUUUCAAAUAUAAUUUGAAUAUUACCGACUUAGAUGAAACUACCUGGUACCAGUCAGGAGCCAGCUCUUGAUCAAUCUGAGAGGUAAAUGGAGUUCAGCAGUGGCAAUGAGGGCACCAUUGCAUGCCCCUGCAUGAAGAUAAAUGCCUCACUGAAGCUACUCUGUACCUAAGGACACAGGGGGGGGGGGCCUUUUGGAAUGGUCCUCUGCCCAUGUGUCUGAUUACAAUAGACCUAGGCUAUCCUCAUUAUGCACACCAAAUCCUCAAAUCCACAUGGUUCAGAAACAAAACAAAAGGGGAAGGGAAUUGCAGUGUCGGAAUUGCUGUCACCGUCCCUCAUCCACCCACUUCCUAUUGUUGAAGGCAGGUCAGCCACGCAGUAGCUGACAAGAUGUCUGGGUGUUACAGGCCUUGGAGGCAAUUUCACUAUGUCUGGAAGUUUUGGGCCAUCAUGAGAUGCAAAUGGGGAAUUCACAAGGCAAGAGAUCUCCCAGUCGUACAGGAUUUGAAGAACGUGACUCAGCCCGAGGCCUAUACAAGGCCACAUCACAUGACUAUUUUCAAGUCAAGCAACACAACCCUUUACCAGGGUUACCCAAGAAGUCUGCAGAUGGUCGCUCUGCAUACCCUCCACCCUCUUCUAACCUAGGCACACCAUGCCUCUGCCCCCUCGCACAGGCCCAAUAUCACCACAGCCAUCCCAUGUGACCUCAUUGCUCACCCCCCACCAUCCAUGGCCCCCUCAAAGUUUUUUUUUGGGGGGGGGGAGGUUGCAGUGCAAAAUCACAUGAGAUCACAGUGCCCCAAGUGGUCUCUGUUGUCUCAUGAGAAAAAACUAGGAUGUCUCUAGUUGGGACCAUAGACCAUCCUGAGGCAAGGCCUCAUGUCUGUUAAUUGUGCAUCAUUCCACAACUUGUUCUAAAGUAACCCAUUGUAACUAAUAAUCUCUGUGGAAUGCAAAAGCAGCAGAAUAUAUAUAUAUAUAUAUAUAUAUAUAUAUAUAUAUAUAUGCCUAGAGUUUAUUUGUUUAUAAUGGCGUCUAGGCUAUAGCACCUCAACCAAGGGUGCAUUAGGUGAUCUCAUCCACUCAUAUGCCGCUAUAGUUAAUUUGUUUGUUCUGCUAGAUGUUUUCUUUAUUAAAGAAGAAGAAAAAACAAUCAUGAGUGCCCUUGUUGCUUCCUGGUUAAAUUGAGUUGAAUCCCUGACUCAGCUAAGGUGGCCUCGUCCUCAGGGCUGGGCUAGGUGACUUCUCUUCUGUCUGAGUUGAGACUGUGGUUUUAGUAUUGUUUUAAAAUGGGUGGAGGUGCAGGUAAAAGUGCAUGUUUAUUUGUUUGUUUGCUUGCUUAGGAGCUAAAAAAUGAAGAAAGGUUAUGUCAGGGAACUGCCAUCGGUAGGAAGGGAGGUGAAAGGACUCAGACAGGUUGGAAGAGACUUAGCAGCUGAAGAGGAAACCAGCAGGGGGAGAGAAGCUGAACUGAGGGAGGUGAAAGGGCUCAGACAGGUUGGAAGAGACUUAGCAGCUGAAGAGGAAACCAGCAGGGGAGAGAAGCUGAACUGAGGGAAAGGGAGCUGGGGGAUGGCUCAGAGAUACUUCCAGCGAAAACAGUGGUGAGGCCUCCGGACCUCCUGUAGCGACACCCACUCCUCGCCGGAAACUGUCACGCAGAGAGUCCAGAAGACGUGUUUCCGUUAAGGAGCUUUUAUGUUGGAAGCGAUUACGAAAGCAACCACUGUCGGAAUCUUCUAGUGACUAAGAGGAGCCAUGUCAGAGGGGCUCAGUCACAGACAGAGGUUUGUGGACUUGAACAAACUCUGAGGGAAUACGAUUUUACGCACAAGCAGCUCAUAAUCCCAUCACAGCAUUCCGACAGUCUUUGAACGCAGCUUGUGCAGGAGAAGGCAUAAUGAGCAACCCAGCAGGAACCGGAGAAGCAGGGGCUGGAGCGGGUCCAAGCCUGGAAGAAAGGUACCGAGUGUUGGAGGUCCAGCUGGCGCUGCAGACGGCGAGGCUGGAGGAGAGGAGGGCUCAAGAUGCAGACAAAGGGAGAAAGCCACCCAGCUCGCCAGAAAGGUACCAGGAUUGGUGCAAAAUUUGGGGGAGCCCAAAGACUAUCAUAGCUUUGGACAGAAAUGCAAUAUGCCCUCAAUCUGCAGUUUGAUGAUUUCCUGAUGAGGAAUCACGAGUGGCUUUUGUGAUUGGGCAUCUUGAAAAGGGGGCGAGAGACUGGGUUAGACCCUGAUGGCAGCUAAUAGUGACGUCUUAAAGGACACGAUGAAGUUCUUUCGCGCCAUGGAUCUGAUGUUUUCCAGCGAUAUUGAAAAGGGAGUGGUGCGCAGACAGUUAAUGGCUUGCAAACAGGGGAGCCGAUCUGUACGUGAGUACUGGACUGAGUUCACCAUGCUGAUACACAGAUUGGGGUGGGACUUAUCGGCGGAACCCAUUCAAAUGCUCUUUGAAGAAGGGCUUUCUUCGGCUGUGAAAGAUGAACUUUCCCGGGCGCCCAGGGCGGAGUCUAUGGACCAGCUGACCAAAUCAGCGCUGGCCAUAGGAGCGCGCCAGGAGGCGAGAGCAUUGGAGAGGCGGGAAGGGAAAGGGGAACGUUGGAAGGAGUUCCGCAUUCCAGAAAUUCCAGAGCCAACUGUCCCGCCGGCAGAGCCGAUGGAAAUCGGAACAGCAGCGCGCGCGCAGUUUCAAAGCCCAGUGAGGGGGAAAGAAGGAUGGAAAAGGCGCCCGGAAAUGCUAUCUCUGCCAACAGCCAGGGCACUUUGCCAGAGUCUGCCCCCAGAGGAAGGAAUGGCAAGGGAUGGUGGGAGCUGUGGAGGGAAGAGAGGAAAAAUACCGGAGCAACUAAAGCCAACGCCUGGCUGCCAUUGUCGGGGCACAGCAGCCAGGCCAAAGAGCAGUGAAAGUGCCCACUCCAGAACCUCCUAAACCCGCCCUAGUGAUAGAAGUGACACUAGAGCUCCCAAACGGACACCCUCUAAAGAUAAAGGCGCUGUUGGACUCAGGCAGCUCCUGCAAUUUCAUGAGCAAAGAGUUUGCAGCUGAACACCAGAUACAGACGCUCCCUUUAAGCAACCCCCUGCAGGUAACCACGAUCGAUGGCAGGGAGCUGUUGGGAGGAGAAGUCAGCUUGCAGACCGUCCCAAUGAUAAUGAAGGUGGCAAGGCACACUGAACUGAUAGCUUUUAAUGUGGCCACCUUGGGAGGAGCUCCCAUUAUAUUGGGGAUGAGCUGGCUAGCGUUACAUGAUCCGCUGGUGGGCUGGCAUCAGAGAGUGGUUUCUUUGGGUCAGCACAUUGCUUAGAACAUUGCAAAGAGGGAAAGGUUUUGGCAGGGGCCCAAGCCACCCUAGCAGGGACUGAAGUGAAGGAGAACGUGAAGGUACCACGACAAUACGCAGAUCUCCGCGACGUCUUCAGCGAAAGGGAAGCUGACCAACUACCACCGCAUAGAGCCUUUGACUGUCAAAUCAAUUUGCUCCCUGGGGCACAGCUCCCUGUGGGCAAGCUGUACGCCAUGUCAGACAGAGAGAUGCAGGAGCUAAGAGAGUUCAUUGACAAGAACCUGAAGAGAGGGUUCAUCAGAGAGUCCAGGGCGGUGGGGCAGCCCAGUGUUUUUGUGGACAAAAACACGAACAAGCCGAGACUGGUGUGUGACUUCAGGGCCUUAAAUGCAGUGUCAGAACCAGUGGCCUUCCCGAUGCCCAGGAUUGACGACAUUUUGACAAGGGUGCGAAAGGGAAAGAUUUUCACCAAGCUGGAUCUAAGGGGGCGUACAACCUGAUACGAAUAAGGAAGGGGGAUGAAUGGAAAACCACCAUGUUCACCCCUUUAGGGCAUUUGAAUACUUAGUUAUGCCCUUCGGUCUACAAGCAGGCUCCGCAACAUUUCAAUCGUUUAUGAACCACGUCCUGGGGCCGUUGCUUUACAAGAAUUGUGUGGCCUUCUUAGACGACGUGUUGGUGUAUUCUGAGAAUGAGGAGCAGCAUGUGAGAGACGUCAGAGAAGUGUUGAGCAGGCUGCAAGCCAACCAGCUGUGGGUGAAACUGGAGAAGUGUCAGUUUCAUACCAAGGAGGUGGAAUUCCUGGGGUAUCGCCUGUCUGACAAGGGGUUGGCCAUGGAUCCCGGCAAGGUCCAGGCGGUACUGGAAUGGAAAACACCCAAAACAAGGAAGGAUGUGCAGAGGUUUUUAGGGUUUGGGAACUUCUAUCGUAAGUUCAUCCCAAACUUUGCCCACCUGACGGCGCCCAUUACGGACUGUCUCAGCAGUAAGAAGAAGUUCGCUUGGACGGAGGAGGCGGAGCAAGCAUUUGAGGAACUAAAAGGGCCUUCGCCUCGGAACAACAGCUCCUGCAUGUGGAUUUACAAAACCGAUGAGAGUGGAAACUGAUGCAUCAGACAGAGCGGUUGGGGCGGUGCUUCUCCAGCCAGGGAAGGAGGAGUCAGAGUGGAGACCGUGUGCUUUUUUCGCGAAAGCUGAACAAAUCCGAGAGGAACUACACGGUGUAUGACCGAGAACUACUAGCCAUUCAUGAGGCGUUCCGGAGAUGGAGGCACCUGCUAAUUGGCGCACAACAUAAGGUGCAAGUGUGCACUGACCACAAGAACCUAGAGUAUUGGAGGACGGCACGAGUGCUCAACCAACGGCAAGUGAGAUGGGCUCAGGAAUUCUCCAAAUUUAACUUUGAGAUUUGUUACGUGCCAGGCCCAGAGAAUAUUAGGCGGACGCUCUCUCACGCAAACCUGAAUAUUUGGAGGGGAGGGAGCACCCAAGAGAGACAUGUCAUUCCAGAGGACCGCUGGGUGUGUGGGCGGCAUUGGUGGGACAAAGAGAACUGGUAGAAGAAACAGAGAAUGAUGAAUACGCCCAGAAUAAGCUUAGAGGUCUUAGGGAUGAGGGAGAGGAAUCAAGGGGUUUCGAGGAAAGAAAUGGAGCUUUGUAUUACAAAGGGGCACUGUAUAUCCCUGAAGGAGACUUAAGGGGAGGGUACUCAAGCAGUUGCAUGACAGCCCCACGGCGGGGCAUUUUGGGCAACACAAAACCAUGUGGUUGGUCACCAGGGAAUUUUGGUGGCCUAAGGUGAGGGAGGAUGUACGUGAGUAUGUAAGAGGGUGCGAGCAGUGCCAGCGAGCCAAAGGGGAAAGGCGGGCGCCGGCGGGGCUAUUAGAACCCUUACCAACACCAGAACGACCUUGGGAGGCAGUGUCGAUAGAUUUUAUGACUGAUCUGCCGAAGUCCAAAGGGAAAACAGCCAUCAUGGUGGUGGUAGACCUACUAACAAAGAUGUGCCACUUUGUAGCUUGCUCGCAUGCAGUCACGGCGGAAGAGACAGCAAAGUUAUUUGUAGAACACAUUUUUAGGUUGCACGGGGUGCCAUUGAGGGUGGUCUCAGACCGAGGAAAACAAUUUACUUCCAGGUUCUGGAGGAAGCUCAUGAGCUUACUGCAGGUGGAGGUCAACUUUUCGACUGCCCGGCACCCUGAAACCAACGGGCAGGCGGAAAGAGCAAACGGUGUCCUCCAGCAAUACCUGAGGUGUUAUGUCAAUGACAGAGAGAAUGACUGGGUAGAAAAGUUGGCGCUGGCGGAAUUUGCCUACAACAAUGCCGAGAAUGUGUCCACAGGGAUGAGCCCCUUCUUGGCUAAUUAUGGGUGUCAUCCCAGGGCUUUCCCAGGGGGAGAAGGGGAGAGAUGGAGCGUACCGGCAGCCGAGCAUUUUGUAGAAGAAAUGGAAGCAAUCCACCGUCAGCUCCAACUCAACUUAGAAAGGGCGAAGGAAGAAUACAAGAGGCAGGCAGACAAGAACCGAAGGGAAGGUGAAACCAUAAGGGUUGGAGAGAGGGUGUGGCUGUCAACCCGAGGGCUGCCGCUCAAAGGAGGUUGUAAGAAAUUAAGACCCAGGAGGUUGGGUCCCUUUGAGGUCAUUCAACAGGUCAACCCAGUGGCUUUCAGGCUCCGGUUACCCAACCACAUGAAACUGCACCCAGUAUUUCACAGGUCGUUACUGUCACCGUACGAGGGGGGACGAGAAGGGAUGGCCACUCGGGGACUGGUCAUAGAAGAAAGAGAAUGCAGCAGUCAUGUGGCAGAAAUCCUUGAUGCCAGGUGGAAGGGGAAUCAGGUGGAGUAUUUGGUAGCGUGGGAAGGAGAACCGGAGUCAGAAAACACGUGGGUAAUGGCCAAAGAUAUCAAUGACGAGGUAUUGAUAGAAAUGUUCCAUCAAAGGUUCCCGCGGAAACCUCAGCCUGUGGAGAGGUUCCGGAGGGAAUACUUUGGGACCACUGAGGAGGAGGAGGAGUUGGAAGGAUUCCCAGAAUCGGAAGGGGAAGGGAGAUGGACUCGGAGGAGGAGGAGUGCUUCGAGACCAGGAACCGCAACAGGUGGAGAGAAGUGUUCGAGACAUCGGAAGAUGAAGGAAGUUCAUUCCCGGGUGUUGCCUCCUCACCGCCCGUAUAGGAGGGGGCGAGAGGGGGUGAAGGGGGCCCUGGAGGGGAGGUGGAUGUCAGGGAACUGCCAUCGGUAGGACGGGAGGUGAAAGGACUCAGACAGGUUGGACGAGACUUAGCAGCUGAAGAGGAAACCCGCGGGGGAGAGAAGCUGAACUGAGGGAGGUGAAAGGGCUCAGACAGGUUGGAAGAGACUUAGCAGCUGAAGAGGAAACCAGCAGGGGGAGAGAAGCUGAACUGAGGGAAAGGGAGCUGGGGGGAUGGCUCAGAGAUACUUCCAGCGAAAACAGUGGUGAGGCUUCCGGACCUCCUGUAGCGACACCCACUCCUCGCCGGAAACUGUCACGCAGAGAGUCCAGAAGACGUGUUUCCGUUAAGGAGCUUUUAUGUUGGAAGCGAUCACGAAAGCAACCACUGUCGGAAUCUUCUAGUGACUAAGAGGAGCCAUGUCAGAGGGGCUCAGUCACAGACAGAGGUUUGUGGACUUGAACAAACUCUGAGGGAAUACGAUUUUACGCACAAGCAGCUCAUAAUCCCAUCACAGGUUACAUCCUACCUUUGGGGAGUUUAACUUUACCAAAUGGUAUGGCAAUUUUGAUUGCUCGCCUUAAGGCCUCCCAUGUCUGGGCUUCACAAAUUGAUACAGAGAACAGUUCUGCUCAAACUCUAAAGUGAUUUCCUACUUCCUCCUGUCUAUGGAUGAAGAGAGAAGAUGACAGGGUCUUUCACAGUCAGCUCUGUACUGAGUACCGCCAUCAGUUUAUGGUUUGCUCCACAGCAAACCAGGCUCAAUGUGGCUCACAAUCACAAGAACCUGAGAAAAGAACUACAGUGGUACCUUGGGUUACAUACGCUUCAGGUAACAUACGCUUCAGGUUAUAGACUCUGCUAACCCAGAAAUAGUGCUUCAGGUUAAGAACUUUGCUUCAGGAUGAGAACAGAAAUCAUGCUCCAGCGGCAUGGCAGCAGCAGGAUGCCCCAUUAGCUAAAGUGGUGCUUCAGGUUAAGAACAGUUUCAGGUUAAGAACGGACCUCCGGAAUGAAUUAAGUACUUAACCUGAGGUACCACUGUAAAUGCAACAUUUCAAGAUUAUUCAUUAUGAUGUUGUUACAAGAAACACAAGCAAAACUUAAAAUAGAUGGUAGAAACAACAAUCCAGAAGGCCAAUGGAAAUAUCUCAUAUUAGUUGAUUCAGAAUAAAACACUCCACUAAGAUCCAACAGUAAAAACACAAAUGAAGUACGCAUUGGCCAAAAUUAAGUUCAUAUUAAGGCCUAACAAUAAAAAUACAAAAAGAAGUAUAUGUUGCCCAAAAUGAAAUGUUGCCACCAGGAGCAACCCCUAAGCAAGAUGGCCACCUUGCCAGACUGUGUGUCAUGAGCCAGAAAAUCAGGGAACCGGGUCCAAUAAGCCAUUUGGUCUCUCACAGGAACACUGUGCUCAUUAUAUAGACUCUCGGCGGCUGGACAAAAUCAUUUCACGAGCCAGGUGCUGCCCUCGAGUCACCACCACAUCAUUUCUCAAUUACAUAAUCACUUUUUAAUUAUAUAAAACUCUAUAACUGGACCUGGCUCAAAUAUUCUAUAAAAUAAUGACACUGCUGCCCUUUUAAAAAAAAACCCAACCAAAACAUGUUAUCCAGCAAGCUUAAGAGCCAGUUGGUGCUCUCAAAAGUCCUGGAAAAUUAUAUUUCAGGUGGAACAUGUGCCCAUGAACAUAUUUGCUAUCAUUAUGCUGCAUAAUGUCAGUUAUGGAUGUAUAUUCAUAUUGAAAGACACGUAUACCUCUCUGGUGCCUACAAUUCUUUUACCCCAUUGAUGGAGGUCAAAAAGGUUGUUGGAAAUUUUUUUUUGGGGGGGAGGGGUGUAUACCACCAUAAGCAUACGCCCUCAAAAAGUUGUAUUCAGACUGAAAGGUUUUCUAUGUCCCAGUAAACCGAAAGGAUGCUGGAUGGCGAAUAUGAAAACAAGCCUAAUGACUUGCUUAAAAAUUAUGUGUGAAGGAGCUCUGUGAAGGCAAUUAAGCUCCACUGAAAUGAACCAACUUCUGAGCUUUCAGAUUCCCACUGAUUUUAUUCAUGGUUGAUCUUCAGGGCUGGAGGACCUAGCCUAGCGAGUGACUGUGAAAUCUGAGCACUCAGUUAUGAUAGGAUAUGUGACUUCUGCUUCUACAGGUGUUUUUACUGAGAUGACACUUCUGACAGAUACACAGGUGAUUAAUAGCUCAGACAGGUGCACGAUUAGUUGAAUACACAGGGCAGGUGUCUAAUUGAAGACAGUAAGGGGAAAAAAAUAAAAGGUAAUGUGUACAUUCAAGGAGAAUUAGCUUGUCAAGGGAAAUGAGCUAUUAAAUAUGGUAGUGCUCAUGAAACUGGGUUGUAAAUUGCGUUCAUAAUUGGCCACGUUAUGCAACCGAGUUUCAUCAAAGGGAUGAAACCCAAAAGGUGCUUGUGUGUCAAUUCACUCUUUCCCCCUAGUCAUCAACUUGUUGACUGCAUUUUAAUUAUCUCUGAAGUACAGAAGGGAAAAGGCUGGUUUUCUAAGCUGCCCGCAACCAUCCAGCCCACACCUGUUGUAAAACGCACCUGCACCAUGCAAAAAGUCGUGCCGGGUCAGGAUUUUCAAAAGCUUGGUGCUUGAAUGCUUCAGGAAGAGGCAGGAGGGGAGGGAUCAAGAGGUGGAGACAGAGCAGGAGAAGAAAUUGAAGCGGACUACAUUUCAUGCAGGACUGUGAACCUGCCUAAAGUACGUAACAGAAGGAACUUGAAAGAGAGAUAUCGGGAGAUCUAAACCUGGGUGGGCAGUUGGACUGAUGCAGCAUCCUACAUUCACAGCAAGGAUUCCAGGGCUUCAGCCAAGGACUGAGGCUAGCCUUUUUGCCUACCAUGGGGUGCCCAAGUCCCCAGAGUAGGGUUGCCACCCAUCCCUUAAAAAAUGUGAUUGUCUUUUUUCUUUUUUCUUUUUGGAGAAAAGUGUCCCCUGUCCUGUUUGGACUUCAAACAGCAUGCCUUUUCUCAUGUAUUUAAGCUCAUCCUCCUCCUCCAAACCGUGCAGGUAGAAGGUGGAGCCAUGUGGAGGAGAGCAGAGGGUGACAGCAAGAGUUAUUGUGGGGUGCAGGCAGAGGGUGAGGUGGGGUUGAGAGGAGGACUUAGAGAGAGAGUGUGUGUGCUUUUGCACGGGCAGAGGGUCAUAGCUGUCAACCUUCCCUUUUUUUGCGGGAAAUUCCCUUAUUCCAGUGCCGUUUCCCGCUGCUUCCCACUGCUAUCCCAGAAGGUUAGAUAUCCCAUAGACUGUCCCCGGGAUAGGUGAGGCUGCUGAUCCCUUAUUUUCAAAUCUGAAAGUUGACAGCUAUGCAGAGGGUGGGUUGCAGAGAGUGAUAUAGGGGGUUUGCAUGGUCCUGCUACAGUAGCAUCUUAUGUUUUCAAUAGGUGGGGUUGGUGAUGAGUGAGUGAGAGGGUUUGCAGAGGCCUGGUCCACUGUGGGAGAGAGUUUUUGCACGGGAAGAGGUGGGUAGGUCAGAUAUGUCCCAGCUUCUUUUCAUCCAAUGGAGGGGGGGCGGGGGCAGAUAUAAUUUUUGCUUGGGCAGCGGUGGAGGAGGAGGGACAGAAAGUGAGAGGGAGUUUGCAGCAGCACAGUGUGUUGGUUGUUUUUUUCAUUGAAUAAACCACUGUAGCCCCUGUGUGCCAUUGUAAUAGAUUGGUUUGAAGUCAUUUCUGCACCCUGUACAGUAAUUUACUCACCCAAUUCCCUCCUGACCUGUCCUUUAUUUUGCCUGACCAAAGGUGGCAACCCUACCUCAGAGUCCUCCUCCUUUCUGUCUUCAGAGACAGACAGGAAUCCGGACAUUGCAGCGUCUGCCUAUGUGAUUGAAGAGCCAGCAUGAAAUCCUUGGAUUAAACAGGUCUUGAUAGAAAUAUUGGUCAACAGCGGCAUUCUCUUUCUGCUCCAGCUGAAACUCUCAGCUCC